GAUGAACGCUGGCGGCGUGCCUAAUACAUGCAAGUCGAGCGAACAGAUGAGGAGCUUGCUCCUCUGACGUUAGCGGCGGACGGGUGAGUAACACGUGGAUAACCUACCUAUAAGACUGGGAUAACUUCGGGAAACCGGAGCUAAUACCGGAUAAUAUAUUGAACCGCAUGGUUCAAUAGUGAAAGACGGUUUUGCUGUCACUUAUAGAUGGAUCCGCGCCGCAUUAGCUAGUUGGUAAGGUAACGGCUUACCAAGGCAACGAUGCGUAGCCGAGCUGAGAGGGUGAUCGGCCACACUGGAACUGAGACACGGUCCAGACUCCUACGGGAGGCAGCAGUAGGGAAUCUUCCGCAAUGGGCGAAAGCCUGACGGAGCAACGCCGCGUGAGUGAUGAAGGUCUUCGGAUCGUAAAACGCUGUUAUUAGGGAAGAACAAAUGUGUAAGUAACUAUGCACGUCUGGACGGUACCUAAGCAGAAAGCCACGGCUAACUACGU
rnacentral:rRNA from 1 species